GUUUUAAUAGUUUAAAAAAAAUAUUAAAUUGCAAAUUUAAAGAUAAUGAAAAAUUUUAAGAUU
rnacentral:tRNA from 1 species